CGCGGCGCCACCAAGGUGGGGGAACGUCACGGAUUUUCGGAUUGCCGCCGUCAUGCCCAAUGUACUUUCGAGGCUACACGAAGGGCCAAGUUUACGAAUUUACACACCGAAACGAUUUAUUUUCGGAAAAAAUUCGAGGUUGGACCGACGUUUCCGUCGCGGCGCUCUAAACUUGUGACUCACAAUUUGAGACUGUUAAACAACAGCCCCAACAAUGAGUAACAGCGAUGUUUAAAUAAAAUGGAAUAAACGAACACUCACCAAAAGCGAACGAUUAACAUCUGGGAAAUCUCGAAUAUGAUACAUUAAGAAUGUAUGGGGAUUGGCAACACAACUUUACAAGAAGAAGAGGCAACGGACAAUGAUUUAACAUGGUAUAAUGUUUAACGUGCUGUUUUGCGCUAGACCAUAACAUUAAUUAAAAAGUAACCGGUUAAAUAAGCAGUGUACACGUUCUCAAACGAAAAGAGAUUGCAGUGGAAUAUAAAGUAGGAGGUUCUAACGCAAAAUGCCAAAAAUGAAUUAUAAUUUCUAUAAUAAAGCAAGUUAAUUGUCUUUGUUUACAAACUUGUUUCGCUGGUUUCUCGUGUUAUUAGAGUACUUCUGCCUGCAAACCCACGUGUUUUAAAUUAUACAAAAUAAAAGAUCCUCGACAAACAUAAAUAAUUUAUUAGUUAUUAAGCAAACCAUUAAACGUUAUUGGUUACGUGGGUCUAAAAAUGUCCAUU